GGAUUCCUUUAUCCUAUCCCAGGUAUUCCUUAAAGAGGUGGGGUUUCAGGUGUCUCCGGAAGGUGGUGAUUGACUCCGCUGUCCUGGCGUCGUGAGGGAGCUUGUUCCACCAUUGGGGUGCCAGAGCAGCGAACAGUUUUGACUGAGCUGAGCGGGAACUGUGCUUCCGCAGAGGUAGGGAGGCGAGCAGGCCAGAGGUGGAUGAACGCAGUGCCCUUCUUUGGGUGUAGGGACUGAUCAGAGCCUGAAGGUACGGAGGUGACGUUCCCCUCACAGCUCCGUAGGCAAGCACCAUGGUCUUGUAGCAGAUGCGAGCUUCAACUGGAAGCCAGUGGAGUGUGCGGAGGAGCGGGGUGACGUGAGAGAACUUGGGAAGGUUGAACACCAGACGGGCUGUGGAUCACGUAUCUAUUAUGCGUGGGAAUACUUGUGAACAGAUUUCUUAAAAUUAAAAUCACUUGGAGCUGAUUUCCUGGUGUUUUUACAGUCUUUUAUGCAAAAGUAUUUUGUUGUUGUUGUUGCUCAGAACACGUUGGGGGCCAAAUAUAGCCAGUUGGGGAACCCUGCUCUGUACACUGUAUCCAGCAGUGGCUGUGGAACGUCUGGUGGGCCGCGCAGGCGCACUAGGGAGAUCGCCUUUGAGUCCAGUGCGGCAGGAAAAGCCAGGGGAGACGUCGUGGAGAUUGAGGGUUAGGAGAGCAAAACAGUUAUAAAGGGGAAAAAAUGACAAUUGGUUCCGUUUACUUAUAACACCAUCCUCAAAAUAUGAAUUUAGCUAUUCCUGUAAAUAGAAGUCGGGUAAAUGGGCGAGCGGUUUCGUGAUAGCCUCCAGUAGACUAACGUUUCGUCUGUGCUUGCUUGGCAAACUGAAGAUAAUGUCAGGGAAUGGCUGAAAAUCCCUAAACUAGUCUACUGCAGUUGCCUGGCUGGAAUCCUCUUCUCGUACUGAGAAUAUCGGACACAUGGAAAUAAAAACGGUUAGCUUGUAACCGUGGGAAGGAUCCACAACACAUCUGGGUGUGAGGAAUUCCAGUCGGUCGUCGUUUCGGAAACGCAUUCGAAGUUUGAACGUAAAGAGACAUUUUGCUGCAUCGAAUUCCUUUUCACGGGAUGUCAUCUGCCGCCGACAGAAUUCCACUAGUUAACUGACCGUCUGCUUCUCGGUAACGGAGGCCGAGCUAGCCAGGCGUGAAGAUGGGUGAUGCGGCACAUACCAAGGGGUUGAGACGAACCUUUAUCGUCCCCUCGAUCAAGGCGUUUGAUCACUAUGAUUUCACAAGGGCUAAAAUAUCCUGUAGCUUCACAUGGCUUGUGGCCAAAGCCUUUGGCUCAGAUGUGGUCCCUGAGGAGCUGGCUGACCCCUUCUACAGGGACCAGUACAGCCAGGAGCACCUGAAGCCCCCCGUGGCGUCCCUACUGCUGUCUGCAGAGCUCUACUGCCGGGCGGGGAGCCUCAUCCUCCGCAGCGAUGCCGUCAAACCUCUGCUGGGACACAACGCCGUCAUCCAGGCCCUGGCACAGAAGGGACUGUACGUCACAGACCAGGACCGACUGGUCACAGAGAGGGACCUGACCAGCACUCCUAUACGCAUGCACUUGUGUGUACUGUUCACGUGAACGAGGCAUGUUGAAUCCCAACGAAUCAAUCCUGGAUGCUCGCGUUGCAAAGAAGAAAAAAGAGCUGAAGAACUGGAAAAGCCUCCCGCUUCAUUUAAGUCUCAUGUAUGGGAGCAUUUUGUCUUCCCUGUCAAAUAUGAUGAUGGAAGAAGGGUGGUGGACAACACCAUUACGGUGUGUAGCCAUUGUGCCACAUGAAAGCCGUAUGAUCAUGGAAAUACAUGGAGCAUGGACACUCAUUUAAAGCGUCGUCACCCUGGUGUGUCAGUGACGGGAGCCAACUCAGCCAAGAGACAACAACUUCUCACCGCGACAUUUAAGCCCUUUGCUGCAGAAUCAGACCGGGCUGAAGCCAUCACCAAAUCUAUUGGGAUGUUUAUCACUGCAGACAUGAGGCCAUACUCUGUUGUGGAAAACAAAGGGUUUAAAAAUAUGGUGAAAGUGCUUGAGCCACGCUAUGAAAUCCCCAAAAUUGUCGACAAAUUAUCCAAGGCAUCCUCUGUUGCCCUCAACACAGACAGGUGGACCUCCAGGGUAACAGAAAGCUACGUGACUGUGACUGCUCACUACACCACAGAGGAGUGGACCUCCAGGGUAACAGAAAGCUACGUGACUGUGACUGCUCACUACACCACAGAGGAGUGGACCUCCAGGGUAACAGAAAGCUACGUGACUGUGACUGCUCACUACACCAGAGGAGUGGACCUCCAGGGUAACAGAAAGCUACGUGACUGUGACUGCUCACUACACCAGAGGAGUGGACCUCCAGGGUAACAGAAAGCUACGUGACUGUGACUGCUCACUACACCACAGAGGAGUGGACCUCCAGGGUAACAGAAAGCUACGUGACUGUGACUGCUCACUACACCAGAGGAGUGGACCUCCAGGGUAACAGAAAGCUACGUGACUGCUCACUACACCACAGAGGAGUGGACCUCCAGGGUAACAGAAAGCUACGUGACUGCUCACUACACCACAGAGGAGUGGACCUCCAGGGUAACAGAAAGCUACGUGACUGCUCACUACACCACAGAGGAGUGGACCUCCAGGGUAACAGAAAGCUACGUGACUGCUCACUACACCACAGAGGAGUGGACCUCCAGGGUAACAGAAAGCUACGUGACUGCUCACUACACCACAGAGGAGUGUGAGAUGUGAAGUCCGGUGCUACAGACACACCCCCUCUAUGAGAGUCCCAAAGGCACAAAUCUGGCGCAGGUACUGCUAGGAGCUAGCUAGGAGCAGCUCGGAGCUAGCUAGGAGCAGCUCGGAGCUAGCUAGGAGCAGUAGCAGAGUGGAAGCUAGAGGCCCAAUAGCAAUAUCCCAACCACCACAGAUAAUGCCAAGAACCAAGUAAAUGCAGUGAUAGAGGCUGGACUGGGGCCACAGAUAGCUUGCUUUGCACAUGUGAUCAAUUUAGCAUCCCAAAGGGGAGUCUCAGUGAACCAGAUGGACCGCUUCCUUGGGAGAAUCAGGAAGGUGGUUUCCUUUUUCCACCGAAGCCCAACAGCCGCUCAUGUGCUUAAGACCAAGCUAGAAAUGCUACAGCUACCGACCCACAAGCUCAUACACCAUGUCACAACAAGAUGGAACUCCACUUAUGACAUGUUGGAGAGCUAUCUUGAGCAGCAGGCAGCUGUAUACUCUGCCCUGACAGACAAGACCCUGGAAAAAAUAAAGACAUUGUCACCUUGUCUAAUGAUGACGUGAAAGUGGCAGAGGAGGUUCUCCAGGUGCUCAAAUCCCUCAAAACGGUUACAACCCUACUGAGCACUGAAACUGCACCGUCUGUGUCCAUGAUCCUACCUCUGAAAACAAGGAUUCUACAAUCCAUGGUCCCAAGUGAGGAAGACAGCACCAUCACUAGAGAUGUGAAGGCUGCCAUUAGAGAGGACCUGAACCCCAGAUACCCCCCUAAUGUACAGGACUACCUUCAUAGUUCUACUGCACUGGAUCCAAGGUUCAAGUCCCUGUCUGUUCACGUCCCUGUCUCACCUAGACCCUGCCCUAAACCGGAGGACAUACAGUGAUCUCACCACUGAGACUGUGGCCACUGAAGAGGGUCAAGCCACAGAGUCGACAGGACCAGACUCAGAAGCAUCUCCUGCACAAAAUCAUUUGGCCACGAAGGAGAUUUUCGGGGAGUCUCUUGCGAGCAAGGACACAGGCAAGACGUUUGCCAACACCAUCAAAGAGGAGGAGGCAUCCUACAAGGCAGCAAGCGGCAUUCCAGUGGAUGGUGAUCCACUGGCAUGGUGGAAAAGCAAUGAGUGUAAAUACCCUCACAUUGCCAUGAUGGCAAGACGCUACCUGGCUGUGCCUGGCACUUCAGUUCCUAGCGAGAGGGUGUUCUCCAUGGCAGGGGACAUAGUGACUGUAAAGAGGUCUACCCUCUCCCCAGACAAUGUAGACAUCCGCAUCUUUUAGAAAAGUCAUGUGAAGUUAUGAGCUCAGGUCUGCUUUGCUUUCUUUCUUUUGUUUGAUGAUGUGGACACAGGCAAUUUUCUGGAUUCACUAUUGUUCAAAGGAAGAAGGUUUCAUGCCUCAUAUUGCACUUUAAUUUAACAAUUGAGUAUUGAAUAUUUUAUUUUAAGAUUUUAUUUAAACGUUGAAAAGUUCCUUGCUUUAAGUGUUCUUUAAGUAAUAAAUGGAAAGCAAAGUUAUAUUUGUCUCCCUUUUUUUUUGCUGAUCCGAAAAAUGAUCCGAUCCGUGACUCAACGUGAUCUGAACCGUGAGUUUUGUGAUCCAUUGCACCACUAGUAGUGCUAGGGCAAAAACCCAAACCCCUUGAGAUCCCCAGGACUGAGUUGGGGAAACCCUGCUCUAAGGUAGUGCUCUGUGGACAGUUUUCUCAGCGUUGUCUCCUGAAAGGACAAAAACAAGCCUAAUGACAGGUUUCUACUAACAACCACAGACAGACAGACAGACAGACGGG
rnacentral:lncRNA from 1 species